rnacentral:rRNA from 1 species
CCCUAUGGGGUGCACCGCGUCCGGGAAAAAUUCGCUGACUGGACCUACAUACACGGCGCGUGCCGCCUGGCAGAUAGUAAGACUGAUCGGGCUUUAACCAGCCGGGAACAGAUAGAAGAUUUUAUCUCAAAGGAAAUCGGCGAACCGGUGAAUUUUCGCCGGUUGCUUGCGGACUACGCGGUUGAAACGUGUGACAAAAUGGAAUACGCGCCGCACCGGGACGAAAAGAUCUUUAGCGUCGGCGACGAAACAUUUUUCAAUUCAUACCGCCCGAAAACGGCGGACGUGACGCGUGAUCCGGCGCUAAAAAAGACGGCAGCAAAAAUAUUUAACGAUCACAUCGAUUUUAGCGCCACGACGGAUACAGAGCGGGGGAGC